CCUGGAUGACUGAGAACCUUCACAGACUCAAAGCCCCAGUCAUGUUGACUAAAAUUAUCCAAAGUAAGUUAAAGAACAAGUUGCAACAAAGGGUAGGCAGGCAAGUCACUAAGCGGUUAAAACAGCAUUAUCCAAUACAAAAUCACCCUGCCACUAGAAUUCUUAGCAAAAUGUCCGCUGGUAUCUUUUAAGCCUUUGUGUGCUUCCCAGUAGUUCAUCCAUUAAACGCACGUAAAAUUAUUUUGUCAGAAAUCUUUGUUUUUGUCACCUAACUUCAUUAUCAGCCUAUUUGCUCACCUUGUUCUUCCUGCUCUUGCACAAGCUCUCUGUUCACCUCCUUGUGUUGAACUAGAAAAAAUAUAAUUAAUAUAAUUAAUAAUAUAUAAUAAUAAUUAAUAUAUGUUAAUUAUUAUAACAGCAGGUUGGGGAUCCACAUUUGUAUACAGCAUAACAUACUCCUUGAAACCCUCAUUAAUUAAUGUGAAUGAAAUAGAUGCUGCAAUAGCAUUAAAGCUCCUUUUGUUCACUCAAUUGUGCAUGUCCACUCUUACUUGUUUCUUUUUCCUCGCUUGCUCUCUCAUUGCUGUCUUCAUUCUGAUUUCUCUUCUCUUCCUCGCUUGGUCUUAGUGCUGUCACUGAGUUAAAUGUAAGAGAAACAGAAUUUACAACCUAAUAAAGGGUAUAACCUAAUCCAUAUCAAUUUCUAGUUAUUCAAAAUGAGUACAGCUGCUGCUGGCCAUUGACAGGUAACAUCCUGUUGACUUUCUAUGACCUGGAUCUGAAACUUUACUGUAAACAAACAAUGAAGCCCAAUUUAACCAGAAUGGAAAAGACUUUUAAAAUAAUAAAGUAAAAUUAUAAAGUACAUCAGCUCCUUGGCGGGCAACUAGCGAUAUAACACCAGACGAAUGGCUCUGAAAACCAGGCAGUUUAAAAGUCAUAGUAAUGUUCUCACAUUAUAGUGUGUGUCCUUGGGCAAGACACUUCACCUACCGCCUACUGGUGAUGGCCAGAGGGGCCGAUGGUGCGAUAUGGCAGCCUCGCUUCUGUCAGUCUGCCCCAGGGCAGCUGUGGCUACAACUGUAGCUGCCUCCACCAGUGUGUGAAUGUGAGAGUGAAUGAAUAGUGGAAUUGUACAGCGCUUUGAGGGUCUCGAAAAGUGCUAUAUAAAUGCAAUCCAUUAUUAUUAUUAUCAUUAUUAUUAUUAUUAUUAGUAGUAGUAGAACAGUUUGCACUUUUGCUAUAUUUCAGCUAAAGUGAAUUUUAAAUCGGCACCACUGAUUUGCGUUAUGAAACGAUUUCUUCAAUUUCUUCAAUGAUUUCUUCAAUCUUGAAUUUAAAUUUGAUUUGAAUUCAUCAUCAGCAUUCAUAAAAAUAAGUCUGAAUUAUUAAGCCACGCUGCAGGCUGUGUGAGUGCACUGCACCAUCAAGAACACAACAUAAAGGAG
ensembl:lncRNA